GUCACAACCCGUCCUCCCAAACCAGGUUCCCUUUGUUCCUCUGCCCAGGAGGUGGCCACCAUGCCUGGGGACUCGCCAGCCACAGAGUCCUGCAGGCCCUGCUUGGUUGAGCUCUUUUCUGCCCCGAGAUAUUAAGAACACAUUUUACUUUCCAUCAUGAAUGCCCCUGAAUCGAAAUUCGGCCUUGUUUAAUAGUAGUGGUGACUUCUGAAGAACAUUCUGGAAUCCAUUUUAUCAUCCUAACAAUCUUAAUUGAGAAAACCUCCAACAUA